CCAUUGAACUAUAAAUAAACUGGAAGGCUAACUGCUAUGAUGAAGGCCUAUGAUUUGAUGAAGCCAAAAUAGUUUUUCUGAGUUAUGAGCAGAAAUACUUGACCCCAAACGUCGGGCUACAUAUCAAAUUGAAGCUAUUGAAAAUUGCUAUUCGGUGUGGAAAUUUCAAGACUUCAGCGAAAAGAAAAAUCUUUAAAAAAUACAAAAACAACUGCAAAACGGCAAAUUAUCGGUAAUUAUGUUUGUAGUUUUUCAAUAUUUCCCUUUUAGCUAAAGUCUUGAAAUUGCUACACCAAAUAGAGUUUUUCAAUAGCUUCAAUUUGAUAUAUAGCCCAACGUUCAGUGUUGAGUAUUUCUGCUCAUAACUCAGAAAAACUAAAAUGCACUGGCUUCAAUUUCC